GAGCGAAUCAAUGGGAGCUUGCUCCCUGAGAUUAGCGGCGGACGGGUGAGUAACACGUGGGUAACCUGCCUGUAAGACUGGGAUAACUUCGGGAAACCGGAGCUAAUACCGGAUACGUUCUUUUCUCGCAUGAGGAGAGAUGGAAAGAUGGUUCUGCUAUCACUUACAGAUGGACCCGCGGCGCAUUAGCUAGUUGGUGAGGUAACGGCUCACCAAGGCGACGAUGCGUAGCCGACCUGAGAGGGUGAUCGGCCACACUGGGACUGAGACACGGCCCAGACUCCUACGGGAGGCAGCAGUAGGGAAUCUUCCGCAAUGGACGAAAGUCUGACGGAGCAACGCCGCGUGAGCGAAGAAGGCCUUCGGGUCGUAAAGCUCUGUUGUUAGGGAAGAACAAGUAUCGGAGUAACUGCCGGUACCUUGACGGUACCUAACCAGAAAGCCACGGCUAACUACGUGCCAGCAGCCGCGGUAAU
rnacentral:rRNA from 1 species